UUAAGCGACUAAGCGUACACGGUGGAUGCCCUGGCAGUCAGAGGCGAUGAAGGACGUGCUAAUCUGCGAAAAGCGUCGGUAAGGUGAUAUGAACCGUUAUAACCGGCGAUGUCCGAAUGGGGAAACCCAGUGUGAUUCGUCACACUAUCGUUAACUGAAUACAUAGGUUAACGAGGCGAACCGGGGGAACUGAAACAUCUAAGUACCCCGAGGAAAAGAAAUCAACCGAGAUUCCCCCAGUAGCGGCGAGCGAACGGGGAGCAGCCCAGAGUCUGAAUCAGCUUGUGUGUUAGUGGAACGGUCUGGAAAGUCCGACGGUACAGGGUGAUAGUCCCGUACACCAAAAUGCACAGGCUGUGAACUCGAAGAGUAGGGCGGGACACGUGGUAUCCUGUCUGAAUAUGGGGGGACCAUCCUCCAAGGCUAAAUACUCCUGACUGACCGAUAGUGAACCAGUACCGUGAGGGAAAGGCGAAAAGAACCCCGGCGAGGGGAGUGAAAAAGAACCUGAAACCGUGUACGUACAAGCAGUGGGAGCACCUUCGGGUGUGACUGCGUACCUUUUGUAUAAUGGGUCAGCGACUUAUAUUCUGUAGCAAGGUUAACCGUAUAGGGGAGCCGCAGGGAAACCGAGUCUUAACUGGGCGUUAAGUUGCAGGGUAUAGACCCGAAACCCGGUGAUCUAGCCAUGGGCAGGUUGAAGGUUGGGUAACACUAACUGGAGGACCGAACCGACUAAUGUUGAAAAAUUAGCGGAUGACUUGUGGCUGGGGGUGAAAGGCCAAUCAAACCGGGAGAUAGCUGGUUCUCCCCGAAAGCUAUUUAGGUAGCGCCUCGUGAAUUCAUCUUCGGGGGUAGAGCACUGUUUCGGCUAGGGGGUCAUCCCGACUUACCAACCCGAUGCAAACUACGAAUACCGAAGAAUGUUAUCACGGGAGACACACGGCGGGUGCUAACGUCCGUCGUGAAGAGGGAAACAACCCAGACCGCCAGCUAAGGUCCCAAAGUCAUGGUUAAGUGGGAAACGAUGUGGGAAGGCACAGACAGCCAGGAUGUUGGCUUAGAAGCAGCCAUCAUUUAAAGAAAGCGUAAUAGCUCACUGGUCGAGUCGGCCUGCGCGGAAGAUGUAACGGGGCUAAACCAUGCACCGAAGCUGCGGCAGCGACACUAUGUGUUGUUGGGUAGGGGAGCGUUCUGUAAGCCUGCGAAGGUGACCUGUGAGGGUUGCUGGAGGUAUCAGAAGUGCGAAUGCUGACAUAAGUAACGAUAAAGCGGGUGAAAAGCCCGCUCGCCGGAAGACCAAGGGUUCCUGUCCAACGUUAAUCGGGGCAGGGUGAGUCGACCCCUAAGGCGAGGCCGAAAGGCGUAGUCGAUGGGAAACAGGUUAAUAUUCCUGUACUUGGUGUUACUGCGAAGGGGGGACGGAGAAGGCUAUGUUAGCCGGGCGACGGUUGUCCCGGUUUAAGCAUGUAGGCUGGUUUAUCCAGGCAAAUCCGGAUAAUCAAGGCUGAGGUGUGAUGACGAGGCACUACGGUGCUGAAGUAACAAAUGCCCUGCUUCCAGGAAAAGCCUCUAAGCAUCAGGUAACAUCAAAUCGUACCCCCAAACCGACACAGGUGGUCAGGUAGAGAAUACCAAGGCGCUUGAGAGAACUCGGGUGAAGGAACUAGGCAAAAUGGUGCCGUAACUUCGGGAGAAGGCACGCUGGUGUGUAGGUGAAGCCCCUGCGGGUGGAGCUGAGACCAGUCGAAGAUACCAGCUGGCUGCAACUGUUUAUUAAAAACACAGCACUGUGCAAACACGAAAGUGGACGUAUACGGUGUGACGCCUGCCCGGUGCCGGAAGGUUAAUUGAUGGGGUUAUCCGUAAGGAGAAGCUCUUGAUCGAAGCCCCCGGUAAACGGCGGCCGUAACUAUAACGGUCCUAAGGUAGCGAAAUUCCUUGUCGGGUAAGUUCCGACCUGCACGAAUGGCGUAAUGAUGGCCAGGCUGUCUCCACCCGAGACUCAGUGAAAUUGAACUCGCUGUGAAGAUGCAGUGUACCCGCGGCAAGACGGAAAGACCCCGUGAACCUUUACUAUAGCUUGACACUGAACAUUGAGCCUUGAUGUGUAGGAUAGGUGGGAGGCUUUGAAGCGUGGACGCCAGUCUGCGUGGAGCCAACCUUGAAAUACCACCCUUUAAUGUUUGAUGUUCUAACGUUGGCCCCUGACCGGGGUUGCGGACAGUGUCUGGUGGGUAGUUUGACUGGGGCGGUCUCCUCCCAAAGCGUAACGGAGGAGCACGAAGGUUAGCUAAUCCUGGUCGGACAUCAGGAGGUUAGUGCAAUGGCAUAAGCUAGCUUGACUGCGAGCGUGACGGCGCGAGCAGGUGCGAAAGCAGGUCAUAGUGAUCCGGUGGUUCUGAAUGGAAGGGCCAUCGCUCAACGGAUAAAAGGUACUCCGGGGAUAACAGGCUGAUACCGCCCAAGAGUUCAUAUCGACGGCGGUGUUUGGCACCUCGAUGUCGGCUCAUCACAUCCUGGGGCUGAAGUAGGUCCCAAGGGUAUGGCUGUUCGCCAUUUAAAGUGGUACGCGAGCUGGGUUUAGAACGUCGUGAGACAGUUCGGUCCCUAUCUGCCGUGGGCGCUGGAGAAUUGAGGGGGGCUGCUCCUAGUACGAGAGGACCGGAGUGGACGCAUCACUGGUGUUCGGGUUGUCAUGCCAAUGGCACUGCCCGGUAGCUAAAUGCGGAAGAGAUAAGUGCUGAAAGCAUCUAAGCACGAAACUUGCCCCGAGAUGAGUUCUCCCUGAGACUUUAAGUCUCCUGAAGGAACGUUGAAGACGAUGACGUUGAUAGGCCGGGUGUGUAAGCGCAGCGAUGCGUUGAGCUAACCGGUACUAAUGAACCGUGAGGCUUAACCUU
rnacentral:rRNA from 1 species